rnacentral:rRNA from 1 species
GACAGAGGCCUCAAGCGUUAGGCGGAGUCACUGGGCUUAAAGCGUGUGUAGGCGGACUUCUAAGUGCCUUGUGAAAUCCCACGGCUCAACCGUGGAACUGCUGGGCAUACUGGGAGUCUUGGGCCAUUCAGGGGCAACUGGAACAAGCGGUGGAGCGGUGAAAUGCGUAGAUAUCGCUUGGAACGCCGAAGGUGAAAACAGGUUGCUGGGGAUGUGCCGACGCUGAGACACGAAAGCCAGGGGAGCAAACGGG